UAGAGUUUGAUCCUGGCUCAGAGUGAACGCUGGCGGCAGGCCUAACACAUGCAAGUCGAACGGCAGCACAGAGGAGCUUGCUCCUUGGGUGGCGAGUGGCGGACGGGUGAGGAAUACGUCGGAAUCUGCCUAUUUGUGGGGGAUAACGUAGGGAAACUUACGCUAAUACCGCAUACGACCUACGGGUGAAAGUGGGGGACCUUCGGGCCUCACGCAGAUAGAUGAGCCGACGUCGGAUUAGCUAGUUGGCGGGGUAAAGGCCCACCAAGGCGACGAUCCGUAGCUGGUCUGAGAGGGUGAUCAGCCACACUGGAACUGAGACACGGUCCAGACUCCUACGGGAGGCAGCAGUGGGGAAUAUUGGACAAUGGGCGCAAGCCUGAUCCAGCCAUGCCGCGUGUGUGAAGAAGGCCUUCGGGUUGUAAAGCACUUUUGUCCGGAAAGAAAAGCUUAGGGUUAAUAACCCUGAGUCAUGACGGUACCGGAAGAAUAAGCACCGGCUAACUUCGUGCCAGCAGCCCCGGUCAA
rnacentral:rRNA from 1 species